rnacentral:rRNA from 1 species
AGCGGCGGACGGGUGAGUAACACGUGGGCAACCUGCCUGUAAGACUGGGAUAACUUCGGGAAACCGGAGCUAAUACCGGAUAAUCCUUUCCUACUCAUGUAGGAAAGCUGAAAGACGGUUUACGCUGUCACUUACAGAUGGGCCCGCGGCGCAUUAGCUAGUUGGUGAGGUAACGGCUCACCAAGGCGACGAUGCGUAGCCGACCUGAGAGGGUGAUCGGCCACACUGGGACUGAGACACGGCCCAGACUCCUACGGGAGGCAGCAGUAGGGAAUCUUCCGCAAUGGACGAAAGUCUGACGGAGCAACGCCGCGUGAGUGAUGAAGGUUUUCGGAUCGUAAAACUCUGUUGUUAGGGAAGAACAAGUACGAGAGUAACUGCUCGUACCUUGACGGUACCUAACCAGAAAGCCACGGCUAACUACGUGCCAGCAGCCGCGGUAAUACGUAGGUGGCAAGCGUUGUCCGGAAUUAUUGGGCGUAAAGCGCGCGCAGGCGGUCCUUUAAGUCUGAUGUGAAAGCCCACGGCUCAACCGUGGAGGGUCAUUGGAAACUGGGGGACUUGAGUGCAGAAGAGAAGAGUGGAAUUCCACGUGUAGCGGUGAAAUGCGUAGAGAUGUG